ACAUGGAGCUGAGUAGGGAGCAAGGGUCUGGGCAACAGGGACUGAGGGCACCCCGAGGAAGAGUGGUCACCUUUACUGGGAAGUAAUUUCGGAAAUACUUCCAUAGGGUCCAGUUUCGUACCCAAGCUGAACGCCUGCCACCUGUGGGUACAGAAGGGAAGGGAAGAGUACACAGGGCAUUGCAGUCCCUCUACCUCUCCCAGAGGAGGAGAGUUCUGCCUGCAGUCCUCAGGUCACGUGAGGGGCCUCCUUCUGACACCUCAGAACUGCAGGCCUCUGAAGCCCCUGGAUCUGGGUCUCCUUGAUGGCCAAACUCUCAAUUGAAGAAAGAGCAGAACCAUGAAGUUGAGGUCAAAGGACAGCACGGCUUGGUGAAUGGGAAGAAGAGCACAUUGGGCUGGUAGCUGAAUCCCCAUUCUGGGACCUCUGGAAAUUCUUUCUAAAAGCUUGACCCUCUUUCCUGUGCUGAACUGAUAAGUCUGCAUAUUCCAGCAGGGAGGUUACCCGCAGUGUACAGGCUGUUUGAUGCUGAAAAGUAAACACGGAUUAAAAACCACUCCACUUUGGGAGGCCGAGGCAGGCAGAUCACGAGGUCAGGAGAUCGAGACCAUCCUGGCUAACACGGUGAAACCCCAUCUCUACUAAAGAUACAAAAAAUUAGCCGGGCAUGGUGGCACAUGAUUGGAGUGCUACUCGGGAGGUGGAGGCAGGAGAAUCGCUUGAACCCAGGAGGUGGAGGUUGCAGUGAGCUGAGAUCGUGCCAUUGCACUCCAGCCUGGGCAACAGAGCAAGACUCCGUCUUGAAAAAACAAAACAAAACAAAACAAACAACAACAACAACAACAAAACUGCCCUACUAGGCCAGGUGCGGUGGCUCACUCCUAUAAUCUUAGCAAUUUGGGAGGCCAAAGUGAGAGGACAGCUUGAACCUAGGAGUUUGAGACCAGCCUGGGCAACAAAGCAAGACAGUAUCUCUAAAAAACCAAAAAAACAAAAAACAAAACAACAACAACAAAAAACACUUUACUGUGUUCAUUUUGUUCCAUUCAAAAGUAUCACAAAGGUUCAGAAGGGGAAGUCUGUGUUAGCAAAUGGCCAUAGCAGGCUGUAACUGCAAACACGAUACAUGUUACAGCAGUGCGAAUGAAUUCCAUUUAAAAAAUCUGCAUUCAUGAGAAAGAGGGGCUAAGUAUACAUAUGGUGAAUAAAAAAAGACUUAGCUAAGGGAAUGACUUCUUUGACCAGGUACCAUGUCAUAGCAGAUAAAAGUUUCAGGGAAGAAGAAACUCGGGAGUUACCUACCAGUUCUUUGUCUCUUGCAUUUUGGACAUAAAUGAAAAUAGCAGGAAAAAGGCUGAGUGGACAGUGCUUUAAAAAGUCAUGUUAUGGAGUAGAAGAAACCUUUGUAAUAGGCUGAAUUGCCCUCAUAAGCACUGGUCGAGAUAGUUGUUGUAAGCAUUCAAAUUAGACAGGAAAGCGUGGUGGGAGGAGUUUUAUGGGAAGCCUGCCAUGGAGAAAAAGCCUUGCUAUCUAUGCCCUUCAUCAAAGAGGAGAGUAAAUUUGCCAGUUAAGCUUCAGAAGGAAAUUCAGAUAAAGUUAAAUAAGAAUAAUCACUAAUUAAAGUUAGCCUAAGUGUAUCAUUUCUUUUAUAUUUUGUUUCAAAUAAAUUUUGUUUGUUUCCCCAGUAUUUAGAAGAGAGCUUGGCACACAGUAGGUGUUCAACAAAUAUCUGUAGACCAAUUGAAAACGAAAUAAGCAAAUGUUUUCUCUUUUCAGUAGUAAACUUGAUAAUUACUAUUUAGUCAGCAUGUAUAGUGUUAUUUAAAUGUGAUGUUAUUUUAAAAGCAUAGACGGAUUAGUUGUGUGCCUUUUAUCUGAUUCAUUCAUCCACCAGUCCUAAAGGCGGUCUAAGAGCCCUUACCUGGGUAACACCAUCCCCCUUGUGGAACCUAUUGGAACUGCAGAUAUGACCCGGCAGGAGACGAGGAACGUUUUUUUCAGAGCAAGGCUUCCAGACCCAGCCCGAGUGUCAUCAGUGUCGUGCACGGUAACAAAAGUGGAAUUUAAAGAUAUAGGAGAAAUAGAAGCCAAAUGUGGAAGAGCUAAGUCUCAUGUAAAAAGAGUUCCGUGACAUAAAGCAAGGGUAUCUGAAGAAGGAAUGAUGAAGAACAAGCAUUUAUGUAUGUGUGACACUCCCUUAGGUAUUAUGGCCUUGACACCAGAAGAUGGUUCCAAUUUCUCUUGUCACGUUCAAGUGAGGCGUCUUGGAGAGGGUUAUCAAAGAGGAAGUUCACAUAGGAUCUGGUUCUGUCACCCAGACUGGCGUUCCAUGGCGUGAUCUCGGCUCAACUCACUGCAACCUCCGCUUCCUGGGCUCAAGCGAUCCCCCCACUUCAGCCUCCAGAGUGGCUGGGACUACAGGAGCAUGCCACCACACCCAGCCAAUUUAUUUUGUAUUUUUUUGUAGAGACAGGGUCUUGCUAUGUUGCCCUGGCUAGUUUCAAACUCCAGGUCUCAAGUGGUCCUCCUGCCUUAGCCUCCCAAAGUGCUGGGAUUACAGGUGUGAGCCACUGCCCCUGACCUCCCCUGUGUUUUCUACUAAACAUUUUACAGUUUUCUUUUUUUACAUUUAGAUCUACAAUACACUUCAAGUUCAUUUUUACCAGUUUUAUGGAGGUAUAAUUUACAAAUAAAAAUGGUGUAUAUUCAAUGUGCACAAUGUGAUGAUUUGAGACAGGUAUACAUUGUGUGAUGAUUACAACAAUCAAAUUAAUCAAUACAUUCACCACCAUACAUAGUUACCCUUUGUGUGUGUUUGUGGCUAGAGGUGAGGAUACUUAAGAUCCACUCAGCAAAUUUCAAGCAUAUAAUACAGUAUUAUUAAUGCU
rnacentral:lncRNA from 1 species